AAGGGCACCACAAGAACGCGUGGAGCAUGUGGCUUAAUUUGACUCAACGCGGGAAAUCUUACCGGGUCCGGACACACUGAGGAUUGACAGGUGGUUUACACACAUUUAUUAUUAAUGUGUGUAUAUAAAUAUGCUAGUUCUUUCAUGAUUAUGUGAUAGGUGGUGCAUGGCCGUUCUUAGUUCGUGGAGUGAUCUGUCUGCUUAAUUGCGUAUCACUAAACGUGUAAUUAUACAUAUGUAAUAUGCAGUGUCUAUAUACAUUUUUUUAAUGUAUAAUGACCUCAUAUUUACAUAUUAUACACGUUGAUAGCAACGAACGUGACCGUAACCUCUUGUUGCCUGGCUCGAAGACUCGUCUCAGUGUGUGAAUUAUUAUUCACAUCACUGUGGAGACCAGAUGCAAACUAGAGGGACCGCUGUAUUCUUUCUUAAACCAGGGGAAGGUUACGGCAAUAACAGGUCUGUGAUGCCCUUAGAUGUUCCGGGUCGCACACGUGCUACAAUGAUUAUUGCAGUGAGCAUCUCGAUCUGACAAAUUGUGUGUAUGCGUUACGUAUAUUUUAUAUAUAUGCACUGUCUAACACACAAUACUGCCUGCUUCGAAAGUUUGCGGGUAAUCAAUUAACAACAAUGAUUUCCAUUUAUAUAGCACACAUAUAUGUGAUUAUGUUAUCCACACAGUCCUUUGUGUCUGUGUCGUGCAUAACAUAAUUUUUCACAUGUGCAAUUGUCAAUUCAUGGUGGGGACAGACUAUUGUUAAUUAUUAGUCUCGGUCUUAACUAGGAAUCCUUGUACUGGUUUAGUUCAUCAGACUACCAGGAAUACGUCCCUGCCCUUUGUACACACCGCCCGUCGCUCUUACCGAUGAACUAUACUGUGAGUAUAUUGGACUGUGUUUCUCGCGGAAAAAUACACGAACAGUGUGGUUUAAAGGAAAGAGAAGUCGAACAAGGC
rnacentral:rRNA from 1 species